ACGAGGCCAUUGUACAGUGUGAAGACAGCCCCACCACAGAUCAAAGAGAUGAAUUACUCAAUACAUUACACCGACUUGAAGAUGCAACAACGAUUCUCCGACGACAACUACGUUCUGUUAAAAGGACAUUAACUCGAAAGGAUCGAGUGAAUCCUGGAUUAUCUUACCGUUUUCUUCCUUGGUACUUUAAGUAUAUUCUACCUCUCGUCUUGUUAUGGCAGUUUUCUUCAGUAACACCUCCUUUUCUUUACGACCAACUUUCGGAAAGAAAACAUCUCGGAUAUAUGACGUUUUGUCAUAUCGUGAUGUCAGUCUUUCAAGUUGUUAGCUUCGCCCACGUUGUAUGGGGAACAG